rnacentral:lncRNA from 1 species
CCAUGCACGCCCCUCUUCUUGGAUGUUGAUCACCUUCACCACCAUCACGGAGCGCUCGAGCUCGACAUGGUCGCUGUCGACCUCCUCCACGCUGUCCUCGCCCAUCACAGGUUGCCAUCGCGCCCGUGACUAUCGUCGAUGUUGCAUUUUUUCUGAAACAUCACUCGUGUGCACAUUCAUUGGAAGGAGACGUUUUCGUCGAUGGCGAGGCGCAUACGGUGACUUCGUAAAUCUCAAUGUGAUAUGUCGAC